UACGUAGGUGGCAAGCGUUGUCCGGAUUUAUUGGGCGUAAAGCGCGCGCAGGUGGUUCGUUAAGUCCGGUGUGAAAGCUCCCGGCUCAACUGGGAGAGGCCAUUGGAUACUGGCGGACUUGAGGCAGGCAGAGGAAGGUGGAAUUCCCGGUGUAGUGGUGAAAUGCGUAGAUAUCGGGAGGAACACCAGUGGCGAAAGCGGCCUUCUGGGCCUGUCCUGACGCUGAGGCGCGAAAGCGUGGGGAGCGAACCGG
rnacentral:rRNA from 2 species